rnacentral:rRNA from 1 species
AGCGCGGGAAGCCGGCGGACUCCUUCGGGAGGAAACCGGUGGAACGAGCGGCGGACGGGUGAGUAACACGUGGGCAACCUGCCGGACUGAUGGGAAUAACCCCGGGAAACCGGGGCUAAUGCCCAAUGCGCCCUGACCUCGCCUGAGGUCAGCGGUAAAGCAGGGAUCUUCGGAUCCUUGCACAGUCCGAUGGGCCCGCGGCGCAUUAGCUAGUUGGAGAGGUAAGGGCUCCCCAAGGCGACGAUGCGUAGCCGACCUGAGAGGGUGAUCGGCCACACUGGGACUGAGACACGGCCCAGACUCCUACGGGAGGCAGCAGUAGGGAAUCAUCCGCAAUGGGCGAAAGCCUGACGGUGCAACGCCGCGUGAGUGAUGAAGGUUUUCGGAUCGUAAAGCUCUGUUGACAGGGAAGAACCCACGCCAGUCGAACAGGCUGGCGUGCUGACGGUACCUGUCCAGAAAGCCCCGGCUAACUACGUGCCAGCAGCCGCGGUAAUACGUAGGGGGCAAGCGUUGUCCGGAAUUAUUGGGCGUAAAGGGCACGCAGGCGGUUUCGUCAGUCCGAUGUGACAGGCCACGGCUCAACCGUGGAAGGCCAUUGGAAACUGCGAGACUUGAGGACAGAAGAGGAGAGUGGAAUUCCACGUGUAGCGGUGAAAUGCGUAGAUAUGUGGAGGAACACCAGUGGCGAAGGCGACUCUCUGGUCUGUACCUGACGCUGAUGUGCGAAAGCAUGGGGAGCAAACAGGAUUAGAUACCCUGGUAGUCCAUGCCGUAAACGCUGAGUGCUAGGUGUUAGGGGUUUCGAUACCCGUAGUGCCGAAGCUAACGCAUUAAGCACUCCGCCUGGGGAGUACGACCGCAAGGUUGAAACUCAAAGGAAUUGACGGGGGCCCGCACAAGCCGUGGAGCAUGUGGUUUAAUUCCACGCCACGCGAAGAACCUUACCACAUCAUGACGUCUUCCGCUACGCCUCNA